CCUGCGGAGAAACGGGACACCGAGUCAGGCGCCGCUCGCCUCCCGCCCGCCAGCGCGGCUCGUUCAGAGAUCAGACAGACUCCGAUUUAGUGGUUAUUACGAGCAUAGGGUUGCCACAAUAUCUCCUUUCCAGUGGUCGGGGCGGAGCGCUCGGGCGGUAGCCCGGAGGCGCGGAGCGCCCCGAGAGGACUUCAGCGACAAAAAUCGGAUGACACCCCUCCCUGCUGCCAAGUUUGAGUGAUGAUCGUUUCGAGGGCCAAUACUUCGAUCAUUCGGCAGAAGUUUGCAGACUAAAUCGAGGUUCAUGAGGGCUUACGCACAUGAGAGGUCCCUCUGACAUCUCUUCGUGACUUUGGACAUCCUAACUGGUUUCCUCUUCCAAUCUAUCACCAGACUGCUGGCAAAGUCUUCAUUUCAUUCACUUGUCCAUAGGACUCCGUGGCCCCUAAGGUCAUACCGAACUAACUGCAAAUUUCUGAAAGGUUGGCAUGCUAGGCUUUUCAUGCUUCUGGCUCCAAAUUAUUUCUUCCAGUAUUUCUUUCCACCUUUCCUUGGAUCCAGGUCAGCUGAGCUCCUCGGUGCUCCUUGGACAUGCCCCACGUUUCUAGAUCCUCACCUUUGCUCACGCUGUCCCUUUGCUGGGGAUGCCAAUCGUCACUGCCAUCUCCACCUGUUGAAAUCCAAGUCCUUUCCACCCUAGCUCUAGCACUCACCAGCUAUGGAGCCUUCGGGGAUUUGUUUCACUUUCUAGUCUCACUUUUCUCAAACGUGAAAUGAAUCUAGCAUUUCUAACCGCGAACUGCCGUGCAUUAAAUAACAUUAUCUACGCAAAGAGCCUAACAAUGGUGAAAAAAGUGGGCACUCCAUACAAGAGUACCGCAUCCUCCACCGUCCUUCCAAAUCUAGGUCAACUUCCACCUUUACCAUGAAGACUUCUUGGGUCCCACUAACCUGCUGUCUCUCCUCCCUGUCUGAAGCCACAACCCUUCUGGGGGUUUCUCAAGUUUUCUUACCAGAGUACAGGGGAGAAUGGAACUGUGUCUUUUUUGGCUGUAGCUUGACACAGAGGAAAGAACACCGCUUUUGAGGGAGGUCGGGGAAACCACGAUUCUGAACCUGGAAACCAGACUCUGUGACUUACUAGCCCUGUGGGAAGUUAAUUAACGUCUCUGUAUCACAGUUUCUUCACCCAUGGAAAGGCCAUUUGAACAGGCUGACAUGAACAGCCUGCAUCAAAUAAGUAUUGAGAAUUCUAUUAUAGGACUCACGUAAAUCUUUUAUUAGAACUGGGUCGUACAGCAGAUGUUCACUUAAUGGUCCUGUCUCCCCUGCCCCCCUUACUGGACAGUAUAGUCUCUAGUACAGUGUUCACAUGACUGGCCUAAAACUCAGCACUUACAGGUACACUGAGUGAAUGUUUAAGGGUAUUUCAACCUGAUCUAACCUAGCCUAGAAUUUUCUUUUUUUAAGUUUAUUUAUGUUGAGAAAAAGAGCACGAGCAGGGGAGUGGCAGGGAGAGUGAGAGAGAAUCCCAAGCGAGCUCUGCACCGUCAGCGUGGAGCUUGAUGUGGAGGUCAGACUCGCACAUCGCGAGAUCAUGACCUGAGUGGAAACCAAGAGUCGGGCACUUAACUGACUGAGCGACCCAGGCGCCCCUACCCUAGAAUUUUCUACUCACAGACCCAUAAUCUUUCCUUCCUUAUCUUCAAUAAGAAAACGCUUCUUUCAAACAGAAAAAAAAUAUAUAAGAUAUUGUUUAGCAAACGUACACGUUUCUACACGUCUGCCCACUCUGUCACAUCAGAAAUUCUUUCAAGCCAAGGUUUUCGCUUGAAAAGCCCAGAGUAAUCUGGGGGCCAGUUAAGGACCACAUAAAGAAAAAUAGUUCAGAUGCUAGAAUUUCAAACAAGGAAGAUUAAAAUUUCUCAAGCUUCUUUCCAGGCCUAAAAUAAGAACAUGUGGCAUUCAAACAGAAUUUAGAAUGACCAGGUGUGAUUUGUUGGGCACAGGCUCUGGGAACGAGAGCGGUGUUAAGAACCCUUUAAAACAGAAAAGAGAGGACUCACUUGGUCCACCUGGUGGAAUGCUAUCUAUUUCUAAUAAGAAUCUCAAGUUCAAACAAUUUAUGCAAACAGUAAUAAUCACCAUCCUUUAUAAAGACAGCUUCAUAUCAGCAGGGAUGAAAAGCAAAACAUCACUAUCAAAGCAUGCCUGACUUAAACUUUCCAUAGGACAUUUUAUUCUGGUUGUUCUUAUUUUCCUCCCACGACUUUCUUUCUCAAGGAUCUAUGCAGACUACCACAGCCAGUCCAAAUUUCUAGGUCUGGCUCCCAAGACCCUCCAUCAAUGGUCUGGUUUCUCCACGCACUAAAUCUUUUCUCUUCUGUCCCUGUGCUUAUGCUCGCUUCGUCCUAUACCCCUCAGGCUUGUCCCUUCUUCCUCUUACCUGUCCAGGACAUACCCACUGGUCCGAGACUAGGUCAAGUCCCAUGAAGCCUUGUCCAACCCCUCCAAUUCACCUGUUUUCUUGCUAUUCUGAAUUCCUUUUGUCCUUAAAACAAUGCCAAGUAAUUUAGCAAUUAAUAGUUCUUGAUUGGCUUGUGUGAGUUUUGCCUCCCAAACUACAGUCUCCCUGUUUUGUAUCACCCACUUGGCACAGGAAAAACACAACAACAUGCUAAUACCUGUUGAUGAUUUAGCUAUAUAACUGUGUCAAGAAUCUUAUUAUGAGAUCAUGACUCAGUUCAUCAUCACUUCUUAAUAUGUAUGUUCUCCUCCCCAAUCCCACCUUACACAAGGUCUAGACCAAUGAGGGGGAGAACCCACAGAAGCAGCUGGACCCGUCAACCCACAAUGCGUUGUCAGUGUCCAGGAUGGUUGGGAUGAGGCAUCUGAUAAAAAGCUAUGGAUAUAUGAAGGCCCUUUCUCAUCAUAAUGGAAAUAAUACUCUUCCUCAGUUUAAAAAAGUAACGGUGGUAAGGUGAAGUAUCCAUAUGUUAAAGGGAGGGUUAUAAGAAGGUGGUCGUGGAAAAUAUAACUUGACCUUUCCAAGUCAAAUGAUGAUUACUUGUCCUGGGCUACUCUUGGAGACACAUGUGGUAGAACUCUAUCUAUCUAUGUAGAUGGAAUCUGACCUUCCAGGUUACACAUAUAGAUACUUAGGUGCUAAGCCAGAGAAGAAACUAUAGCUGAGGAUAAAAUACUCCUUGAACAGUUAGAAUAUUUAAAAAGGAAGUUGAAGUCUGUGGCACUAGAGUCCCAGCAGUGUCCCUCAGGUAGAAUACAGCCAACACAGACUCUAAGUGGUCUGCCUACAUCUAGGUGGUAGGGGGGGUCACCCACUUAAUGAUGUCUGAAUGGAAGGGAAAUAAGGGAGCUCGGAUGAGAACAGCUGGAAACCCCAGAGCCCAGAGAGACAACAAAUAUGAGCAGCCUGUUCAACUGAGUUAGGGUCCGAAAGGUGAAAAGUGAGUGCUGCGUGACUCAAAAAAACUAGUGUCCGUGAAACCUGAUGAGUGUUGCUCAACCUUUAAAUUAGAAGGCCUAAAAGUGGAUACACAUUGCAAAAGAAAGAACCCCAUUCCCAGAAAACUCCCCAGUAAAA